rnacentral:rRNA from 1 species
UACGAAGGAUCCUAGCGUUGUCCGGAUUUACUGGGUUUAAAGGGAGCGUAGGCGGACUUUUAAGUCAGUGGUGAAAGCCUGCAGCUUAACUGUAGAAUUGCCAUUGAAACUGAUUGUCUCGAGUGCGGUUGAGGUCACUGGAAUUCUCGGUGUAGCGGUGAAAUGCGUAGAUAUCGAGAGGAACACCUGCGGCGAAGGCGGGUUGCUGGGCUGAUACUGACGCUGAUGCGCGAAAGCCAGGGAGCGAAGCGGG